GAUAAGGUUAAGUGAAUAAGGGCGCACGGUGGAUGCCUUGGCACUAGGAGCCGAUGAAGGACGGGACUAACACCGAUAUGCUUUGGGGAGCUGUAAGUAAGCUAUGAUCCAGAGAUUUCCGAAUGGGGGAACCCAAUAUCUUUUAUAGGAUAUUACUUUUCAGUGAAUACAUAGCUGAUUAGAGGUAGACGCAGAGAACUGAAACAUCUUAGUACCUGCAGGAAGAGAAAGAAAAUUCGAUUCCCUGAGUAGCGGCGAGCGAAACGGGAAGAGCCCAAACCAACAAGCUUGCUUGUUGGGGUUGUAGGACUCCAAUAUGGUAGUCUGUUAGUAUAGUUGAAGGAUUUGGAAAAUUCCGCUAAAGAGGGUGAAAGCCCCGUAGACGAAAUGCUGACAACACCUAGGAGGAUCCUGAGUACGGCGGAACACGAGAAAUUCCGUCGGAAUCCGCGGGGACCAUCCCGCAAGGCUAAAUACUCCCUAGUGACCGAUAGUGAACCAGUACCGUGAGGGAAAGGUGAAAAGCACCCCGGAAGGGGAGUGAAAUAGAUCCUGAAACCGUGUGCCUACAACAAGUCAAAGCUCGUUAAUGAGUGAUGGCGUGCCUUUUGUAGAAUGAACCGGCGAGUUACGAUUGCAUGCGAGGUUAAGUCGAAGAGACGGAGCCGCAGCGAAAGCGAGUCUGAAUAGGGCGAAUGAGUAUGUAGUCGUAGACCCGAAACCAUGUGAUCUACCCAUGUCCAGGUUGAAGGUGCGGUAAAACGCACUGGAGGACCGAACCCACGUACGUUGAAAAGUGCGGGGAUGAGGUGUGGGUAGCGGAGAAAUUCCAAACGAACUUGGAGAUAGCUGGUUCUCUCCGAAAUAGCUUUAGGGCUAGCCUCGGAAUUGA
rnacentral:rRNA from 1 species